rnacentral:lncRNA from 1 species
GGUGAAUUGUCCAGCGGCGGUGUCUGUGGCAAGGUCAUUGCUGGGCUGUCGUGGAUGCGCUGUCCUUGGGUUUCUUGGAUUCGCACGCUAAGUGGUUCCGGGCGGGCGGUGGUUUUGCGGCCGUUCUGUCAUUGAUGAGGUGUUGGCUGUUUCGUCUCAUGGCGAUGUCUAUUGCUUCUUGGGUGUGGGGUUGCGUCGGCGCGGUGAUGGGUUUUAUUAUUUUGGCCUUCUCCCAUUCGACACGUGUGUCGUUGCUGUGAGCCUCCUCCGAUGGCGCUGUCGUUGUUUUGCCUGCUGUGAUGUCAUACUUAUGUUCACGCACUCUUUGGGCUGGGGUUCUGGAUGUGGCUCCAAUAUGUGCGGCCUCUCUGCCUUGGGCUGGGUGGCUGGCCGGGAUCUCGUAGACAUCUGGUCGCUCAUGGUGCUGGUGCGGGUCCUCGUUCCAGAUGGUGUUGAGGAUGGUGGGGGCCCGCUUGGUGGAUGUCUUUUUCUUGGUUUUUCGUGCGAUCUCUUUUUUAUAGUACAAAGGUUGUUAGUACUGUAUGGCACCGAC